CCCGUCUGGGGAGAGAAGGGAGGCGAUGGCUGAGGAAGGAAUGCUGGGAGGCCAACGUGGAGUGCUCGCACACAGGCAGCAAGAUGAAGACAUUGAGGCCCAGAGAGGCGGAAUCACUGGCUCCAGGUCCCACAGCUGGGAAGUUGCAAAGCUGAGAUUUACCUGGGCAAGUCCCUGGGCCUGAGCCCAUGACGCUGUGCUAUGCUGCUUCUCUAAGGGGCAGUGAUUGGUAUUCCAUGUCUCCAGAUAAAGAUUUUCACCUGUUGGAGGCUUUUAUAGUCUGGCUUACAAAAUGGGAAGAGUCAACCCAAACUUUCAGAAUUGUGCAAUGGAUACAAUUAGAUCGUGUACAUCAGAA